AGUGAACGCUGGCGGUAGGCCUAACACAUGCAAGUCGAACGGCAGCACAGUAAGAGCUUGCUCUUACGGGUGGCGAGUGGCGGACGGGUGAGGAAUACAUCGGAAUCUACUUUUUCGUGGGGGAACGUAGGGAAACUUACGCUAAUACCGCAUACGACCUACGGGUGAAAGCAGGGGAUCUUCGGACCUUGCGCGAUUGAAUGAGCCGAGGUCGGAUUAGCUAGUUGGCGGGGUAAAGGCCCACCAAGGCGACGAUCCGUAGCUGGUCUGAGAGGAUGAUCAGACACACUGGAACUGAGACACGGUCCAGACUCCUACGGGAGGCAGCAGUGGGGAAUAUUGGACAAUGGGCGCAAGCCUGAUCCAGCCAUACCGCGUGGGUGAAGAAGGCCUUCGGGUUGUAAAGCCCUUUUGUUGGGAAAGAAAAGCAGCAGGUUAAUACCCCGCUGUUCUGACGGUACCCAAAGAAUAAGCACCGGCUAACUUCGUG
rnacentral:rRNA from 1 species